AACGAACGCUGGCGGCAUGCCUAACACAUGCAAGUCGAACGAGACCUUCGGGUCUAGUGGCGCACGGGUGCGUAACGCGGGGUAACCUGCCCUUAGGUUCGGAAUAACUCCCCGAAAGGGGUGCUAAUACCGGAUAAUGUCUUCGGACCAAAGAUGUAUCGCCUUUGGAUGGGCCCGCGUUGGUUUAGCUAGUUGGUAGGGUAAAAGCCUACCAAGGAGACGAUCCAUAGCUGGUCGGAGAGGAUGAUCAGCUACACUGGGACUGAGACACGGCCCAGACUCGUACGGAAGGGAGCAGUGGGGAAUAUUGGACAAUGGGCGAAAGUCUGAUCAAGCCAUGCCGCGGGAGUGAUGAAGGGCUUAGGGUUGUAAAGCUCUUUUACCCGGGAUGAUAAUGACAGUACCGGGAGAAUAAGCUCCGGCUAACUACGUG
rnacentral:rRNA from 1 species